rnacentral:tRNA from 1 species
GAAAGUACAGCUCAAGUGGUAGAGCACAUGCUUAGCAUGCACAAAGUCCUGGGUUCAAUCCCCAGUAUCUCCU